CGAAAGUCUGACGGAGCAACGCCGCGUGAGUGAUGAAGGUUUUCGGAUCGUAAAACUCUGUUGUUAGGGAAGAACAAGUACCGUUCGAAUAGGGCGGUACCUUGACGGUACCUAACCAGAAAGCCACGGCUAACUACGUGCCAGCAGCCGCGGUAAUACGUAGGUGGCAAGCGUUGUCGGAUAUUGGGCGUAAGCGCGCGCAGGCGGUUUCUUAAGUCUGAUGUGAAAGCCCCCGGCUCAACCGGGGAGGGUCAUUGGAAACUGGGGAACUUGAGUGCAGAAGAGGAGAGUGGAAUUCCACGUGUAGCGGUGAAAUGCGUAGAGAUGUGGAGGAACACCAGUGGCGAAGGCGACUCUCUGGUCUGUAACUGACGCUGAGGCGCGAAAGCGUGGGGAGCGAACAGGAUUAGAUACCCUGGUAGUCCACGCCGUAAACGAAGUGCUAAGUGUUAGAGGGUUUCCGCCCUUUAGUGCUGCAGCAAACGCAUUAAGCACUCCGCCUGGGGAGUACGGUCGCAAGACUGAAACUCAAAGGAAUUGACGGGGGCCCGCACAAGCGGUGGAGCAUGUGGUUUAAUUCGAAGCAACGCGAAGAACCUUACCAGGUCUUGACAUCCUCUGACAACCCUAGAGAUAGGGCUUCCCCUUCGGGGGCAGAGUGACAGGUGGUGCAUGGUUGUCGUCAGCUCGUGUCGUGAGAUGUUGGGUUAAGUCCCGCAACGAGCGCAACCCUUGAUCUUAGUUGCCAGCAUUCAGUUGGGCACUCUAAGGUGACUGCCGGUGACAAACCGGAGGAAGGUGGGGAUGACGUCAAAUCAUCAUGCCCCUUAUGACCUGGGCUACACACGUGCUACAAUGGGCAGAAC
rnacentral:rRNA from 1 species